CGGAGGGGCUAGCGUUGUUCGGAAUUACUGGGGCGUAAAAGCGCGCGUAGGCGGCUUUGUAAGUUAGAGGUGAAAGCCCGGAGCUCAACUCCGGAAUUGCCUUUAAGACUGCAUCGCUAGAAUCAUGGAGAGGUGAGUGGAAUUCCGAGUGUAGAGGUGAAAUUCGUAGAUAUUCGGAAGAACACCAGUGGCGAAGGCGACUCACUGGACAUGUAUUGACGCUGAGGUGCGAAAGCGUGGGGGAGCAAACAGGAUU
rnacentral:rRNA from 1 species